UUGGAGGGCAAGUCUGGUGCCAGCAGCCGCGGUAAUUCCAGCUCCAAUAGCGUAUAUUAAAGUUGUUGCAGUUAAAAAGCUCGUAGUUGAAUUUCGGGAUUGGCGCAUCGGUCGUGCCUCACGGGGUAUGAACUGGUACAGUCAAUUUCUCACCUUCUGGAGAACCGCGAUGUCCUUAAUUGGAUGCCGCGGGGAACCAGGACCUUUACUUUGAAAAAAUUAGAGUGUUUAAAGCAGGCAUUUUUGCUUGAAUACAUUAGCAUGGAAUAAUAAAAUAGGACGGCAUGGUUCUAUUUUGUUGGUUUCUAGGACCACCGUAAUGAUUAAUAGGGAUAGUUGGGGGCAUUAGUAUUCAAUUGUCAGAGGUGAAAUUCUUGGAUUUAUUGAAGACUAACUACUGCGAAAGCAUUUGCCAAGGAUGUUUUCAUUAAUCAAGAACGAAAGUUAGGGGAUCGAAGACGAUCAGAUACCGUCGUAGUCUUAACCAUAAACUAUGCCGACUAGGAAUCAGACGAUGUUAAUUUUUUAAUGACUCGUUUGGCACCUUACGGGAAACCAAAG
rnacentral:rRNA from 1 species